rnacentral:lncRNA from 1 species
GCUUGCAGUUAGGUGGAAGCCUAUCAUUAGAAUAAUUUGAUGGCAGACGACAUUCCAUAGGCCUUAAAAAAAUGGUUUGGCCUCACCUCAACGUCAACCAAGGAUGGUCCAGAGGAUCCAAUGGUAACCUGAUCACCUUGAAAUCCAAUUUAAUGGCAGACUAAUUGCCAUCCAAACCAAUCUAAUGACACUAGAUCCACCAUCAUAUAUAUC